rnacentral:rRNA from 1 species
GAUGAACGCUGGCGGCGUGCCUAAUACAUGCAAGUCGAGCGAAUGGAUUAAGAGCUUGCUCUUAUGAAGUUAGCGGCGGACGGGUGAGUAACACGUGGGUAACCUGCCCAUAAGACUGGGAUAACUCCGGGAAACCGGGGCUAAUACCGGAUAACAUUUUGAACCGCAUGGUUCGAAAUUGAAAGGCGGCUUCGGCUGUCACUUAUGGAUGGACCCGCGUCGCAUUAGCUAGUUGGUGAGGUAACGGCUCACCAAGGCAACGAUGCGUAGCCGAGCUGAGAGGGUUAUCGGCCACACUGGGACUGAGACACGGGCCAGGCUCCUACGGGAGGCAGCAGUAGGGAAUCUUCCGAAAUGGACGAAAGUCUGACGGAGCAACGCCGCGUGAGUGAUGAAGGCUUUCGGGUCGUAAAACUCUGUUGUUAGGGAAGAACAAGUGCUAGUUGAAUAAGCUGGCACCUUGACGGUACCUAACCAGAAAGCCACGGCUAACUACGUGCCAGCCGCCGCCGUAA